GGGGAUUUAGCUCAGUGGUAGAGCGCUUGCCUAGCAAGCGCAAGGCCCUGGGUUCGAUCCCCAGCUCG
rfam:Rattus norvegicus chromosome 1, whole genome shotgun sequence.